GGUUACACAUGCAAGUCGAACGCGAAAAUGGGGGCAACCCUGUGAGUAGAGUGGCGAACGGGUGAGUAAUGCAUCGGAACAUUUCCAGUAGCGGGGGAUAACCUGUCGAAAGAUAGGCUAAUACCGCAUACGACCUACGGGUGAAAGCGGAGGACCGAAAGGCUUCGCACUAUUGGAGUGGCCGAUGUCGGAUUAGCUAGUUGGCGGGGUAAAAGCCCACCAAGGCUACGAUCCGUAGCUGGUCUGAGAGGACGAUCAGCCACACUGGAACUGAGACACGGUCCAGACUCCUACGGGAGGCAGCAGUGGGGAAUUUUGGACAAUGGGCGAAAGCCUGAUCCAGCCAUGCCGCGUGAGUGAAGAAGGCCUUCGGGUUGUAAAGCUCUUUCGGCGGGGACGAAAUAGUCCGUGCUAAUACCAUGGAUCGAUGACGGUACCCGAAGAAGAAGCACCGGCUAACUACGUGCCAGCAGCCGCGGUAAUACGUAGGCAGCAAGCGUUGUUCGGAGUUACUGGGCGUAAAGGGUGUGUAGGCGGUUCUUUAAGUUUGGUGUGAAAUCUCCCGGCUCAACUGGGAGGGUGCGCCGAAUACUGAGGGACUAGAGUACGGGAGAGGAAAGUGGAAUUCCUGGUGUAGCGGUGAAAUGCGUAGAUAUCAGGAGGAACACCGGUGGUGUAGACGGCUUUCUGGACCGUAACUGACGCUGAGACAAAAGCGUGGGUAGCAAACAGGAUUAGAUACCCUGGUAGUCCACGCCCUAAACGAUGCAUAUUUGGUGUGGGCAGUUCAUUCUGUCCGUGCCGGAGCUAACGCGUUAAAUAUGCCGCCUGGGGAGUACAGUCGCAAGGCUGAAACUCAAAGGAAUUGACGGGGGCCCGCACAAGCGGUGGAGCAUGUGGUUCAAUUCGACGCAACGCGAAGAACCUUACCUGGGCUCGAACGGCUUCUCAACGGCUGUGGAAACAUGGCUACCCCGCAAGGGGGUGGAGUCGAGGUGCUGCAUGGCUGUCGUCAGCUCGUGUCGUGAGAUGUUGGGUUAAGUCCCGCAACGAGCGCAACCCCUGUCCUGUGUUGCCAUCAUUCAGUUGGGAACUCGCAGGAGACCGCCAGCGAUAAGCUGGAGGAAGGUGGGGAUGACGUCAAGUCCUCAUGGCCUUUAUGUCCAGGGCUACACACGUGCUACAAUGGACGGUACAAACCGCAGCAAACCCGCGAGGGGGAGCCAAUCGGAAAAAACCGUUCUCAGUUCGGAUUGCAGGCUGCAACUCGCCUGCAUGAAGCUGGAAUCGCUAGUAAUGGCAGAUCAGCACGCUGCCGUGAAUACGUUCCCGGGCCUUGUACACACCGCCCGUCACAUCACGAAAGUGGAUUGUACUAGAAGUCUGCAGGCUGACCCGCAAGGGGGGCAGCGGCCCAAGGUAUGAUCCAUGAUUGGGGUGAAGUCGUAACAAGGUA
rnacentral:rRNA from 1 species